rnacentral:rRNA from 1 species
AUUGAACGCUGGCGGAAUGCUUUACACAUGCAAGUCGAACGGCAGCACGGACUUCGGUCUGGUGGCGAGUGGCGAACGGGUGAGUAAUGUAUCGGAACGUGCCCAGUCGUGGGGGAUAACGUAGUGAAAAUUACGCUAAUACCUCAUACGAUCUAUGGAUGAAAGCGGGGGAUCGCAAGACCGCGCGCGAUUGGAGCGGCCGAUAUCAGAUUAGGUAGUUGGUGGGGGAAAGGCCCACCAAGCCAACGGUCUGUAGCUGGUCUGAGAGGACGACCAGCCACACUGGAACUGAGCCACGGUCCAGACUCCUACGGGAGGCAGCAGUGGGGAAUUUUGGACACUGGGCGAAAGCCUGAUCCAGCCAUUCCGCGUGCAGGAUGAAGGCCCUCGGGUUGUAAACUGCUUUUGUACAGAACGAAAAGGUUUCUACUAAUACUAGGAGCUCAUGACGGUACUGUAAGCAUAAGCACCGGCUAACUACGUGCCAGCCGCCGCCGUAA